GGCGGGCUGGACCUCUCGGGGUUACAGCCUUGCUGAAUUAUUCACCCUUGUCUUUUGCGUACUUCUUGUUUCCUUGGUGGGUUCGCCCACCACUAGGACAAACAUAAACCUUUUGUAAUUGCAAUCAGCGUCAGUAACAAAUUAAUAAUUACAACUUUCAACAACGGAUCUCUUGGUUCUGGCAUCGAUGAAGAACGCAGCGAAAUGCGAUAAGUAGUGUGAAUUGCAGAAUUCAGUGAAUCAUCGAAUCUUUGAACGCACAUUGCGCCCUUUGGUAUUCCAAAGGGCAUGCCUGUUCGAGCGUCAUUUGUACCCUCAAGCUUUGCUUGGUGUUGGGCGUCUUGUCUCUAGCUUUGCUGGAGACUCGCCUUAAAGUAAUUGGCAGCCGGCCUACUGGUUUCGGAGCGCAGCACAAGUCGCACUCUCUAUCAGCAAAGGUCUAGCAUCCAUUAAGCCUUUUUUUCAACUUUUGACCUCGGAUCAGGUAGGGAUACCCGCUGAACUUAAGCAUAUCUAAAAGGCGGAGAA
rnacentral:rRNA from 1 species